UUUUCCUUUGUCCUAUUGUUCAUCUCCUUUCUCUCCUACAUUCUGAAGGUCACUGGAGAAUCUUUGAUUCAACGCAAGGAUGAUACUGCAGCCGUUCUUAAGUCGAGGCUGGAUGCAUUUCAUAGACAGACUGAACCUGUUAUUGAUUACUAUAACAAGAAGCAUGUCGUUGCGAACCUUCAUGCUGAGAAACCACCGGAAGCUGUGACAGCUGAGAUUCAAAAGGCACUUUCUUAGGCCCGAGCCAUUUUAAAUAAACUUGAGUUGAACAAUGAAAUUCCAGAUUUUUUUGGUCCUCUUCACCUCUAACUUCUCAGCUUAGACAACUAUGUUGCUUCUAUUAAACACAAUUAUGAAAUCCUGCAGAUGGUUAGAUGA